CAAAGAGUAGUUUAAAAUAAAAAAUAAUAAUUUUGGAGAUUAUAGAUAAAGAUAAAUCUUUUUCUUUGA
rnacentral:tRNA from 1 species